AGGUUCUGGAGUUGAGUUCUGUCUGGGGCCAUGUCUGCAUUAUACUGGUAUUGCUUCACAAAAGCCUCCGCCAAAUCCCUCCAGCAACGGAUAUGGGCCCUAUCCAAUCUCAUGUACCAUUCCAGGGAUGCCCCAGCUAGGCUGUCCUGGAAGAAAUACAUGAGUAGCUUCUCGUCAUCAGAGUACGCAACCAUCUUCCGGAAGUAGGCUUGCACGUGGGUCUUCGGGCAAGAGCUGCCAUUGUACUUGUCAAAG
rnacentral:lncRNA from 1 species